rnacentral:sRNA from 1 species
GGGCGAGCCGUGUCAACCGGACGCGACAGAGAUGAUGAAUGCAGGGGUUUUUCCGGUUUCUCCCUGCAGCCAACGAAACGGCAGGCGAGCAUCCAACCUGUCAGGUUC